GACGAACGCUGGCGGCGUGCCUAAUACAUGCAAGUCGAACGCUUCUUUCCUCCCGAGUGCUUGCACUCAAUUGGAAAGAGGAGUGGCGGACGGGUGAGUAACUCGUGGGUAACCUAGCCUUCAGCGGGGGAUAACACUUGGAAACAGGUGCUAAUACCGCAUAACAGUUUAUGCCGCAUGGCAUAAGAGUGAAAGGCGCUUUCGGGUGUCGCUGGCGGAUGGAUCGGCGGUGCAUGAGCUAGUUGGUGGGGUAAUGGCCCACCAAGGCCACGAUGCAUAGCCGACCUGAGAGGGGGAUCGGCCACACGGGGACGGAGACACGGCCCAGACUACUACGGGAGGCAGCAGUAGGGAAUCUUAGGCAAUGGACGAAAGUCUGACCGAGCAACGGCGCGUGAGUGACGAAGGUGUUCGGAUCGUAAAACUCGGUUGUUAGAGAAGAACAAGGACGUUAGUAACUGAACGUCCAGUGACGGUAUCUAACCAGAAAGCCACGGCUAACUACGUG
rnacentral:rRNA from 1 species